AAUGGGAUCUCUCUAAAUUGUCCCCUUAUAUAGUGAGGUCAGGGUUCAGCUCACUCUCUUGUUCCAGUUUAGCUGAGGCACAGUGAAGUGAGGACCUGAGGAGUUUGUCUGGUGUUCCUGAAGAUGUCUGUACCCGUCGUUGUGGCAGAGAUAUGAGGAUAAUGUGUACAGGAUAUUAGUGUAUGAGCCGGGGAGUUAUAUGAUCACUGUGGAUCUCGAGCGCAGUAAUAAACAGCAGCAUCUUCUGACUUUACUUCUCUUAUCUCCAGGAGGUAUCCUGACUAUCAAUGUCACUCCGGCUAGAAGAAGCGCACACCAGCGUGAAACAACAUGCCCCGGUGUGCCCCUGCCCGUGCUAGCUAUGCCGACACUCCUAUGAAUAAAG